rnacentral:rRNA from 1 species
GGGGAAUAUUGCACAAUGGAGGAAACUCUGAUGCAGCAACGCCGCGUGAGUGAUGAAGGUCUUCGGAUUGUAAAGCUCUGUCUUCUGGGACGAUAAUGACGGUACCAGAGGAGGAAGCCACGGCUAACUACGUGCCAGCAGCCGCGGUAAUACGUAGGUGGCAAGCGUUGUCCGGAAUUACUGGGCGUAAAGGGUGCGCAGGCGGACAUUUAGGUGAGAUGUGAAAGACCCGGGCUUAACUUGGGCAGUGCAUUUCAAACUGGAUGUCUGGAGUGCAGGAGAGGAGAACGGAAUUCCUAGUGUAGCGGUGAAAUGCGUAGAGAUGUGGAGGAACACCAGUGGCGAAGGCGGCUUUCUGGUCUGUAACUGACGCUGAGGCGCGAAAGCGUGGGGAGCAAAC